CAGGAACCUUGCUGCUACCUGGAAAGCCUAACGGCAAAAACCAGUCCUGCUGGCUGCCAUCUCUGCCAAGGGGAGAAGGCUCUCUGUUCACUUAUCCACGCAAAUGGAAGCUCUUCCUUGGCUUGGAUGUACAGAGAAAAUUGAUGAAUUGCUCGAGGUCACAGAGCAAGUAAAUAGAAGAGACAGUGUCAACCCAAAACUCUUGCACCUUGUACUUUUUUUGAAACCAUGCCCCAUAAGACCCCACUAACAAAUCCACUAGCUGUCUCUGCAAAAACCAGGACUCAAGGUCAACUGAUAAUGGUUCUAACCUAUGAACAAGCAAGACCCUGCUUUCCUUACCUGAGGUAAUGAGCCUAAGACUCCAUCCAGUUUAUACUGGCUCUCAGGACAUCCUAAAGCAACCUCCUGAUGUCAGGGGCUGAAUUUUGCCUCAUUCUGAUGCUAAGUCUGUACCCCAAAGUUAACACAGGAUGUAUGUUUUACGUGUGUGUUAAAUGUGUAUUCUCCAUCUCUCCUCACGAAUAGUCAUAAGUUUCCCUGCCCUCUUCAUCAAUAUGUUUGUAUUCUCAACCCCUAUGAUUAUAAAAAAAACUUGUUCUGUCCCCCUUCAGGGAGGCAGAUUUGAGGCUUGUCCUCCCAUCUCCUCUCCUUGUUUUGCCUGCCUCUCCAAUAAACUCUUUCCUUGCUGCAAA